GAGAGUGGGAGCGGAAGACCUCUUUCUUGAAAGCCGAUGCCGUGGGAGAGUGGGAGCGGAAGACCUCUUUCUUGAAAGCCGAUGCCGCGGGAGAAGGAGAUAGCCACAGAGCGAGAGAGAGAGAGAGAGGGAGAGAGAGCCCGCACUGGUCGUUGUCGUGGCUGGGGCUUGUGGUUUCAAGCAGAGGCAGAGCCGGUGGAUGCAACGAACUUUUCGGGCUCCGGGGACAGGUUUCUUGGGUUUGCGAAUCCGACGAACCUAAUCUCGAAUCGCUCCGAGCCGGCGAAGGCCAUCGAAGAUCCGCUGAUCGGCAGCCCUAAACCUUCUCACAUGAACCCCUUCGGAGCCUACUCGCCUCCUUGGCAGCCAUUGGAGGGUCUGGUUUUGAGGUGAUCUGACGAUCUUGGAUCUGAUCAGUUGCAACCACAAUGCAGCAAUGCCUCUUUCUCUUGAUUGCUCAGAUGGGGAUCAGAGCAUUUGUGCUGGAAAAUAAAUCAAAAGUGUGUCUGAUUGUGGGUGUGGUGGAGGAGAUCUAUUGUGGGUCUGAUCGUAAGUGUUGUAGAAGAUCACGCUAUUGGAAGCUUCCUCUUUCUAGUCACGUUAACUCCUAUUGACAUGAUCUGCCCCUGUUACCAUUGCUCAUGUUUUUAGAAGAUGCUUCCCUGCAGUUGAUGCAGUGGAUAAAUCAAGAGUGGUAGUGCUGGUGGUGGUGAAGUUGUGAUCAAGUGUUGCUCAUGCUGAUGGUGGUGACGAUGUCAUCAAGUGCAGGUCAGAUGUACUCUCCAAUCUGGAUGAAGUUGGCUCGUAAACAAGGUUACAAGCAAUACAUUCACUGUGGGUUUCUGACAAACAGCCUGAUCGGCCCCUUAAAAUAUGCAGAAUUGACAAGAAACGGGCUCCUCAACAAUACGUUUCUCCUUGAUAGAUGUGCUCUAUCCUUCCAGUUCCAGAGUUAAAUGUUCUUGUGUUGAUGAUGAAGUGCUAUGCUAUUUGAUAGCUUCUUUUCUUUCUUAAUGUAUCUGUUCUCUGCUAGAUUCUUCGCUCACUUGUUCUUUAGUCUUUACCUUCAAUUCGUCAAAUGUUGGGACUGAUUCUAAUUCAUGGGCAGGUUGAUGGAUUCAUAUACUACACUUCUGUAUUCAAAUUGUUUGAUUGCGUUUUCAAUGAUUCAACCGGGAUAUAUUUGUAUUUUUGUCAUGACAUCUUUUUAACAGCAUCUAUUAACAACCUAAUAUUUUAUGCCGGUGGGAAUGCAGUUCAGUAAUCGGAAGCCCAAAGGCAUGGGCCCUAUCAGACGACGACGCUAACUGUGGAGGAAAGAAUGAUCUCGCGUAACUCUUUAAUCGGACUCUUUAAAUUUGCUUAU